rnacentral:rRNA from 1 species
UUUUAUGGAGAGUUUGAUCCUGGCUCAGGAUGAACGCUGGCGGCGUGCCUAAUACAUGCAAGUCGAGCGAACGGACGAGAAGCUUGCUUCUCUGAUGUUAGCGGCGGACGGGGGAGUAACACGUGGAUAACCUACCUAUAAGACUGGGAUAACUUCGGGAAACCGGAGCUAAUACCGGAUAAUAUUUUGAACCGCAUGGUUCAAAAGUGAAAGACGGUCUUGCUGUCACUUAUAGAUGGAUCCGCGCUGCAUUAGCUAGUUGGUAAGGUAACGGCUUACCAAGGCAACGAUGCAUAGCCGACCUGAGA